rnacentral:rRNA from 1 species
AGUGAACGCUGGCGGUAGGCCUAACACAUGCAAGUCGAACGGCAGCACAGUAAGAGCUUGCUCUUACGGGUGGCGAGUGGCGGACGGGUGAGGAAUACAUCGGAAUCUACUUUUUCGUGGGGGAUAACGUAGGGAAACUUACGCUAAUACCGCAUACGACCUACGGGUGAAAGCAGGGGAUCUUCGGACCUUGCGCGAUUGAAUGAGCCGAUGUCGGAUUAGCUAGUUGGCGGGGUAAAGGCCCACCAAGGCGACGAUCCGUAGCUGGUCUGAGAGGAUGAUCCGCCACACUGGAACUGAGACACGGUCCAGACUCCUACGGGAGGCAGCAGUGGGGAAUAUUGGACAAUGGGCGCAAGCCUGAUCCAGCCAUACCGCGUGGGUGAAGAAGGCCUUCGGGUUGUAAAGCCCUUUUGUUGGGAAAGAAAAGCAGCAGGUUAAUACCCCGCUGUUCUGACGGUACCCAAAGAAUAAGCACCGGCUAGCUUCGUG